CGGUCCUCCAAAACUACGUGCUACUCUCUGUGGUCCUCAGCAUCCUCAGCAUCCUCAGCAUUCUCAUCAUGCUCAUCGUCAUCAUCUAUCUCCAUUACUGUCGCAUGGCGGAUUCAAAUCUCUCAUCAGAACCUGAAACGUCCAUCCCAAAAUCCUACAGCUGCUGCUGUCCUGACAGGGAUUCGCUGAAAAUGAGGACGUGAACCCAAAGGGGAGAGCGUCUUAUCCUUUUUCACACUUGGCCAUGCAGAUUGCGACUACUGAAGGUAGAACCGAGAUGCACUUUCAAGCAAGAUAGCAUUACCAGUGCCAAAUGUGUUGGUGCAAUUCUUCAGUAAACAGGGGGCGCCCUUGAGCAACAGAUUUUAUUCAAAAGAAAAGCAGAUUAAAUAGCAAAAAAAAAUAAAAUAAAAUCAGCUUCAUUCUUAAA